rnacentral:rRNA from 1 species
ACGGGUGAGUAAUACAUCGGAACGUAUCCUGGAGUGGGGGAUAGCCCGGCGAAAGCCGGAUUAAUACCGCAUACGCUCUGAGGAGGAAAGCGGGGGACCUUCGGGCCUCGCGCUCAAGGGGCGGCCGAUGGCGGAUUAGGUAGUUGGUGGGGUAAAGGCCUACCAAGCCGACGAUCCGUAGCUGGUCUGAGAGGACGACCAGCCACACUGGGACUGAGACACGGCCCAGACUCCUACGGGAGGCAGCAGUGGGGAAUUUUGGACAAUGGGGGCAACCCUGAUCCAGCAAUGCCGCGUGUGUGAAGAAGGCCUUCGGGUUGUAAAGCACUUUUGUCCGGAAAGAAAUCAUCGGGGCCAAUACCCCUGGUGGAUGACGGUACCGGAAGAGUAAGCACCGGCUAACUACGUGCCAGCAGCCGCGGUAAUACGUAGGGUGCGAGCGUUAAUCGGAAUUACUGGGCGUAAAGCGUGCGCAGGCGGUGCUGUAAGACCGAUGUGAAAUCCCCGGGCUUAACCUGGGAACUGCAUUGGUGACUGCAGCGCUGGAGUAUGGCAGAGGGGGGUGGAAUUCCACGU